rnacentral:tRNA from 1 species
GUUGGGGUGGCAGAGCCCGGUAAUUGCAAAAGAUCUAAGCCCUUUUAUCAGGGGUUCAACUCCCCUCCACAACA